UACGAAGGGUGCAAGCGUUACUCGGAAUUACUGGGCGUAAAGCGUGCGUAGGUGGUUCGUUAAGUCUGCUGUGAAAGCCCUGGGCUCAACCUGGGAAUGGCAUUGGAAACUGGCGACCUAGAGUGCGGUAGAGGGUAGUGGAAUUCCCGGUGUAGCAGUGAAAUGCGUAGAGAUCGGGAGGAACAUCUGUGGCGAAGGCGACUGCCUGGACCAGCACUGACACUGAGGCACGAAAGCGUGGGGAGCAAACAGG
rnacentral:rRNA from 1 species